AAGUCGUAACAAGGUUUCCGUAGGUGAACCUGCGGAAGGAUCAUUAACGAAUGAAGUUGAGCAGGGUUGUUGCUGGCCUCCGGGCAUGUGCACACCUUGUUCUUCCAACCUUCUACACCACUGUGCACUUUCUCAUGGGUUGGGGUUCUGCGCCUUUAAUGGCUGCGUCCCUGCCUGUGUGCCUACACAUACACAUGUCUGUUAUAGAAUGUCUACUGUGCAUGAAUGCAUAUAAUACAACUUUCAGCAACGGAUCUCUUGGCUCUC
rnacentral:misc_RNA from 1 species